UACGUAGGUGGCAAGCGUUGUCCGGAAUUAUUGGGCGUAAAGCGCGCGCAGGUGGUUUCUUAAGUCUGAUGUGAAAGCCCACGGCUCAACCGUGGAGGGUCAUUGGAAACUGGGGAACUUGAGUGCAGGAGAGAAGAGUGGAAUUCCAGGUGUAGCGGUGAAAUGCGUAGAUAUCUGGAGGAACACCGGUGGCGAAGGCGGCAUCCUGGACCAAUUCUGACACUGAGGAGCGAAAGCCAGGGGAGCAAACGGG
rnacentral:rRNA from 1 species